rnacentral:rRNA from 1 species
AGAAUGAACGCUGGCGGCAUGCCUAACACAUGCAAGUCGAACGAAGGCUUCGGCCUUAGUGGCGCACGGGUGCGUAACGCGUGGGAAUCUGCCCCUCGGUUCGGAAUAACAGCGAGAAAUUGCUGCUAAUACCGGAUGAUGACGUAAGUCCAAAGAUUUAUCGCCGAGGGAUGAGCCCGCGUAGGAUUAGCUAGUUGGUGUGGUAAAAGCACACCAAGGCGACGAUCCUUAGCUGGUCUGAGAGGAUGAUCAGCCACACUGGGACUGAGACACGGCCCAGACUCCUACGGGAGGCAGCAGUGGGGAAUAUUGGACAAUGGGCGAAAGCCUGAUCCAGCAAUGCCGCGUGAGUGAUGAAGGCCUUAGGGUUGUAAAGCUCUUUUACCCGGGAUGAUAAUGACAGUACCGGGAGAAUAAGCUCCGGCUAACUCCGUGCCAGCAGCCGC